UUCUAAUAACCAAAAUUCAAGCUCCACUGAAUGCCUUCUGAACGAGUGGUCGUCGUAGGCUCUCUCCCCUUUCACUCCUCUUUUUUAUUUGCUCUGAUUUGUCCUCUUCUGACCUGUCGUUGAUAAGUGUGGUCGGAGCUCCGCUGCGGGUUCCUCUACAUUUGCUCUAGGUGGUGUAAAUCCGAGGUCUGUGGGUUUUGUGCUGGAGAAUCAGCGAGGCGGUGGGGGUUUUGUGGUAGGGUGUUCAAUCUAUGGUUCUUUUUUCUCUUUGUAGAUCCCGCAGGCUGAACGGAGUAGUGGCCUUUGGUGGUUGUUGAACUCGUUCCUAUGGUUCCAAUCUUCCUUUAGUCGGAGUUCCUCUUCAGCAUGGAACGGGAUUUACAACUUCUCUCUUGACGGCGAUUUGGCGUCUCUUCGCUUUGUUUUGUCUUGAGUUCAAGGAAGACGUCAGUUUUGUAACGUCGGAGUGUGCACGAAGGUUAAUGCGACUGUGUGAUUUAUUAUCCUCGUUGUUUCGCACUUCUAGUCGAAGUCCAAAGUUUCAAAAGUUGUCGUCUAUGGUUGCUCUUCCUCUUCACAAGUAUUCCUCUUCCUUUGUUCGUCAUCGCCAUUACAGAGUAGGGAUUCGAUGCGGGUCUGAUGGGGCCUAUCAGAUUCCAUCUCGAUGUGGAGACCAGCUUGAGUUCUCAGCCAUCCCAGUGUGUGGUGGUUCACUUGAGCUUCCUCGUAGAUUAUUCUCUUCUUAUUGCAAGUACUGAAGAUAAUGUUUCUUUGCUGUCUCUCUUUCAACUACUUUUAGUCAGUAUAUAUCUGUUGGGUUCUCGAAGUCUGGAAGCUGUUUUUCAGGUACGCUUUCUCUAUCCUCAUCUCUGUAUUGGCAUAUCGAGUUUAAACUUCAGUGGAGGCGAUAAGUUUAGGGAAAUUAUCAUGAACCAGCUACACUAAUGAUAGCAUGGAAUGUUCCGGCAACUGAGGAAACGAGCUCCUCAAGAAAAAACAAGUUGUCCGAAAGAUUAAAAUAUUUCUUGUAAAAAGUCACAAAGUACAAACAACCAAGCUAGCUUUAUAGUAUGUAACAAAUAUAUGUUAAAAUGUAGACUGAAUUACUCAGAUAUAUAAAUACGGUUUAUCAAAUAAAUUUUCCCUCCAUUUCUAUAUAAGUAACAGAAAUAUACAUAAGUUAUUAUUAAUUACACAUCUAUGAUCAACAAUAUUUGAGAAAAAUAAAACUAUUUAUAAAAUCAAAUGCAGUUUACAAUUAUUUUCAGAUGAAAGUAAAUUUAAUUUGUAUUGAAAUUGUAAAGUGACGCUUUUUGUAUAACAAGAAAAAAAGAUUAGAUUGACUCCUAUUGUGAAACAAAAGUUAUAAUAUUUUAUAAUUAUUGAUGCUUUCAUCAGCUGUGGUUUAGAGAUAGUAAUUUGGAUAUGGAUGAUUGAUUGGGUUUUAUCUUCCUAAUUUAGUUUUAUUUAUUUUUAAAUUAUUAAACUUUAUCAAUCAUAUUGUAAUUUUAUUUUUAAAAGUUAAAAUCUACAUCAAAUUUCUAUUAUUUUUUACCAAUCAUGU